rnacentral:misc_RNA from 1 species
GUCAUCUUUAAAAUGCUUGGUGGAGGUUUUCGUAAAAAAUCCAACCGUAACAAUCUUAGGAAAAAAAUUGAUACAGCCGAUAGUGAUGAUGAUGAUGGAAAAAAAGAUAAAACAGAGUUGCCAUCUAUUCAAACGCCUUCAAAUGCUCCCAAGACUAUUAAAACAAAACCAAAUACUAUGCUUAGCUUUGGAGAUGAAUUAGAAAAUGAUGAAGAAUUUGUAAUAAAACGGACAAAAGCAAGUUCGACUUUAGAAAACCAAGUAAAAAAAGAAAAAAAACUUAAAAAGAGACGAGAAAAAAAUCAAUCUCAAGAACUUUUUGUUGAAGAAAAAAAUCAGGACCAGAAUCUUAAAAGCAAUAUGUUGCAUGUAAAAACAUUUUCUGAUGAUGAAGAUUAUAAUUUUAAACAAGAUGAUUUUGGUGUUUCCCAUAAAUUUAAUAUUAAACAAGCUCUAGGUACUAAUGGUAACAUACCUGAUGCUGCCAUGAUUUAUGCAAUGAAAAAAAAGCGAGAACAAGCUAGACAGUUUGGUGACCAAGUUGCUUAUAUACCUUUGAAUACAAAUAAAUAUGAAGGUCGAUUUCCAGAAGGAAACUCAAGGCUUAUACGAGAAGAUGAUAGCAGUGAAGAUGAAAGGAUUGAAAUGAAAGGAACAACUGCAACAUCACACCCGCAAUUAGAACGACGGAAGCAAGUUGCUAAGGCUCUAGAGGAAUUUCAAGAUGAAGACAGUGGUAAUGAAAAAAGAGAAGAACAUGAUGAUGAAAUUCAAAGAUGGGAAGAAGAACAAAUAAAAAAAGGAAGUCACAUGCCAACAAAUGUACCAGAGACAUAUGGUCCAAAGCUUCCUUUAAAUUUUAAUGUAGGAAUGUUAAUGGACCCAACAACUUAUGUUCCUCACUAUGCAAUGACAACAUUGCAAGGUUAUUGUAAUCAAAUAAAUAACUUGACAUAUAGUGCACCACAAUACUCACAAGUUUAUCAAAUCCCAUCUCAAGAUACAUAUGUUUAUUCAAUAGAUAUUAUUGGAGAACAGCUAAGGCAACAAGUUGAUGCCAAAAAACAACUUCAUCAUUUGCAUAAACAACAACUCGAAAAAACAGAUUCCGAUUUACAUUUCUCUUUAGAUAAUCUUAAAAGCCUAGAAAAUAAGACAAUUGAUAUCUCUGAGAGGUUUACUUUUUAUCAAGACAUCAGAGGAUUUGCACGAGAUCUAAUAGAAUGCUUAAAUGAAAAGGUUAAGCAGAUAAAUGAGCUUGAAAGUGGGAUGCAUUCAGUUCUAUCAAGUUAUGCAGAGAAACUUGUAAUACGAAGACAAAAUGAUGUCAAAGACGAAGUAGAAGAAAUAUCUGGCAAACCAAAUACAGACAAUGAUCGCAUCAAUAACAUUCGAAAUCGAAGAAUUGCAGAACGCGAGGGAAGGCGUGCUAGACGGCGUGAAAGUCGUAAAGGAGUUCCACAUUAUGAUGGAAUGUCCAGUGAUGACGAUGUCAUACCCAGUGAAAGACUAAGAUAUGAAGCUGAACAAGCUAAGAUUUUAAAAGAUUCAGAAUCUGUAUUUGACGAUGUUGUUUCUGAUUUUAAAUCAAUUCGUGAAAUAAUGUCUCGUUUUGAACAGUGGAAGUUUGCAUUUAGUGACACAUAUAAAGAAGCAUUUUUAGGAAUUUGUUUACCAAAAUUAUUUGCACCAUUUGUUACUCUUGAGAUGUUAAACUGGAAGCCAUUAGAGGUACAAACCAAUAUUGACUUGGAAUCAAUGAACUGGUUUAAAACUCUUAUUGUAUAUGGGCAUGUACCUGAUGAUAUAGAUAUUGAUGAUGAUGAUAUAAAAUUAGUUCCAAAUAUUAUUGAAAAAAGUAUAAUUCCAAAACUGACAGUGAUGAUGCGUGACGUUUGGGACCCACUUUCGAGCAAGCAAACAAAGCUUUCUACAUGUUUAUUUCAAAGACUUGUUCAUGAUUUUCCAACCAUAACAAAAGAAAGUAAGACAACCAAGCUUCUAGUAGAUGCUAUUGUCACAAAACUAAAGAGUGUUGUAGAGACAGAGUUAUACAUACCACUUUAUCCUCGCAGUUUACUUGAAGCAAACAACUCAAGAGCGUUCGCAUUCCUUGAAAGGCAGUUCUGGAAAGUUACUCAGCAAUUUAAUGGAAUGGAAUUGGCUUUUAUCACAAACAAAGUUACAAGAAUUAGGAGUUGAUGCCAUCCUAAAUCGUUACUUAAUAAUUGCAUUGCAACAGUAUCCUUCACCUGCAGCAGCUUUAGAGCGAGUGAAGUCGAUCGUGAGUAUUUUACCUAAAGAAUGGUUUGAAAAAUCAGACCAAAUUAUUCCCGGAUUACAGAGUGUUUCAAGGUACCUUGUCUCGCUGUCUAAUAUUAUUUAUAAGUCGUCUCUUGGAUACAAUGACGAACAAGAAAAAAAACGAUCUACUAUCCUUAUAAAAAAAACAAUCUCGAUUCUAAUGCAUAUUCAAGCUUUUGACGAAGCAAGGUUAGUUGCCAAAGAAUUUAAAGAUAAAGAUACGAGAAAUUCACCAUCGUGACAAAAUAUACGAGAAAUUCACCAUCAUGACAUACAAGAAAUUCGCCACGAUGAUUUAAGAAGGGAUUUGAUGUAUAAAAACUUUUCUAUUUUAAAAAACAACUGGA